GACGAACGCUGGCGGCGUGCCUAAUACAUGCAAGUUGAGCGCUGAAGGUUGGUACUUGUACCAACUGGAUGAGCAGCGAACGGGUGAGUAACGCGUGGGGAAUCUGCCUUUGAGCGGGGGACAACAUUUGGAAACGAAUGCUAAUACCGCAUAAAAACUUUAAACACAAGUUUUACGUUUGAAAGAUGCAAUUGCCUCACUCAAAGAUGAUCCCGCGUUGCAUUAGCUAGUUGGUGAGGUAAAGGCUCACCAAGGCGAUGAUACAUAGCCUACCUGAGAGGGUGAGCGGCCACACUGGGAGGGAGGCACGGCCCAAACACCUACGGGAGGCAGCAGUAGGGAUUCGUCGGCGAUGGACGAAAGUCUGACCAAGCAACGCCGCGUGAGGGAGGAGGGUUUUCGGAUCGUAAAGCUCGGUUAGUAGAGAAGAACGGUGGUGGGAGUGGAAAGCGCAUCAAGUGACGGUAACUACCCAGAAAGGGACGGCUAACUACGUG
rnacentral:rRNA from 1 species